CCCCGUGGGGUGGCCUCCACAGCCUGGCUGAGUGUUAGCACCGAGGCCUCCUUGGGACAUCUCUCUGCCACCCUCUUACAAGGAUGCUGUGGUUACAACCAGGAUCCAACCCAGGAUCCGAUUCCCUUCUGAAGAUCCUUCACAUACUCUCCUGUGCAAAGUCCCUUUGCUGUACAAGUGACCUCCAGCGCCGAGAAAGCUGCUCUGACUGCAACUGGCAUCUGCACUCCCGCAGGCAUGGAGGAGGGCCUGGCCUGAAGGGGACCCAGGGCCACCCUGCUUCUGCAAGGUGCUCCCUCAGCAGCUCGCGGGCCUGACAGAGUCUUGAGGUCUCCAGGGAAGAUCUGGCUCAUUCAGCAGAAUCUCAGAAUGCAUCCAACACCCAGAGCUCAGAACCUUCUGGGGUCCCAGGCACUUCCAGACUUUCUGAGUGCACCAUGCCUGCUGCCUUGGCAAUUGCCUGAGCACCCAGAGCCCCUUGUCCUGAUGGAGGACGUGGGCA